rnacentral:lncRNA from 1 species
GGUGGAUAUGAUUUCAAGAUCACAUGUAUUUAGAGGGGCGAAACUAGGAACUUUUUUCAAGCUGGUGGUUAGACUAAUUUUUAAGUUAAAGAAAAAAGAAUCUUAAAGUAAAGCUAUUGAAUUAAACCAUAACAAUUAGUUCACAUUUUUAGAUUUUAAAAAUAUUUUGUGAAUUUUGUUUAUUUAAAAAUAAAAGUUAUCAAACUUCAAAACUGUGACUACAAUACUCCAUGAGUGCCAUACUUCACAACCUGGCACCGCUAGAUGGAUCUAGAUUAUUGACUUUUAUUUACUUUUUAUUUAUCUAAUGAUGCUUAGUCUACAGAGUACGGUACCCUUAGAAAUCAUAAAUAGACACUUUAAAGAAUUAAAAGAUAAAUGAGUGAUAAAUAUCUUGUUAUAAUUAGUUUACUUGAGAUCAAAAAUAGAUUUUUAAAAUAAGAUGGAGUGGGGAAGAAGUUGGGAAAAAUGACCGUGUCCAAAUUUUAAGAUAGCUUGAGUGAUAAACUUGUAAAUUAUGCUAUGAUGUUUUGUAAAAAAUAACAGUGGUAGCCCAAUUGGGAAUAAAUUAUUCUAUCUUAACCAAGGUUUUCGGUUUGAGAUUUGGGAAUGCAGCUGCGUUAAAUACUUGUUGAAAGAGCUUUACCACCCCAGUGGUCCUAUUGGGCUCGAAUCUGGAUUAGUCAGGAUUCAAUGUGGUCUUCGGAUACCAAAUGAUUUAAUACACAAAAAAAAACAAUGGUAGCUAGUUUUAUAAAUUCUACAUGGUAAUUUGUGAACAACAUAGAAAAAAACAAAAAAACUAAAUAAUAAUAAUAAUAAUAGUAAUAAUAAUAAUAAUAAUAAUAAUAAUAAUUUACGUAUCUUGCUUAUUUGGAAGUCAACAUAAAUUGUAUAUUUGGAUGGACUAGAAACUGUGAUUCAGAAAUUCAAGGAGGCACGGUCAAAUUUGGACACCCUAAAGAAGCUGGAAGUGUCCAUUCUCCAUGGGUUGAUGCAACUGAAAUGAAGGAACAUCCUGAAUUUAGCAAGCGGAAGUUUGAUAGAAUAAUUUGAACUUCCCCCAUGCUGGCUUUCAUGGAAAGGAAGAAGACGACAAAGCUAUUCGUGAGCUGCCAGGUAAGUCCAUUGGACAUAUGUGUCAAUAUAGUGAGUUAAAAAUGGUUAUCAUAAGAGGGAACUUCAAGUGAUUCGUAUUUCUUAAUAAUUCAACUAGUUAAGCAUAUACUAAGGAGUUGUUUAUUUCUUAAUAAUUAAUAACCUAUAAUUCGGAAGUACAAUCCACUACAAUCUAUCAAUUGGUUAAUCCCAAACAUGUACUAAGGAGUUGUUUAUUUUUAUCUAAAGCCUGAAUUUUACUUAUUUUCAGACAUUGAUAGUUUUUAAUUUUUUUUUUCUAUUGCUUAUGUCUAAUUAAAAUAUGUUUAGGUGUGAAUAGAAAAAGUUAAAUAUUUUGAUUUUUAUCUGAAUGGUAAAACAUAUGAAUAGAGCUUUAAUAUUCUCUCUUAUUAUUACCCCUUUAAAUAAAUUUAUUUUCUAUUAUACAAAUUAUUCUUUAUUUUUUUAAUUAUGCUUUUUUUGUUAUAUGCCUGUAUUCAACUUUUUUUUUUUGUGAGUGAGAAUUUUAACAUAAUAAAGCGUUUAGGUGAGGGUGUUUUAUAAUGGUCUAUCUUUUUGUAUUUAUAUUUACUAUUCUUAAAAUAGAUCUUAUACUGAUUAUUCUCAUUCUCCGUAAUUUAUUGUACCGAAUGUUCUAAAACCUACCUAGCAUUAACGAGUGAAAUAGAAAUUUCGGGAAGCCAAGAAAGUUUGUGUGCACUGAAUGCCUCUACUUUGUAAGUUCAAUUGAUCUCCUCUUAGUUGAAGUAGAUGAUAGUAAAUAGUAUCUGAGUUUCAUUUCAGAUUCCAAAAACAAUCCUCCAUUUGAAUAGUUAAGUAGAGAUCCGCAUUGCUUUCUUUUUCUUUAGAGGAAUGGCUGACUCCUUUGAUCAUGAAACUAUGUCACGGCUAUCACAAAAACCCGAGUAAUUCUAUUCAUAGAACCAAAAUAGAGUUGAGUUGGUGCUCCUUCAUUUUGACUGAUUUAUUAUGAUGCAUAACAACAAAUGAUGAGAUGGUAUCUGAUAUGAUAAUGAGAAUUAGUCGUCAACGAGAAAAUUAAUUUCGCAAGAACACGGUUGGUCGCAGAACUCUCCUAGUCCUUGGAAGUAAUUUAAAGGAAAGGUGCAUCAAUUGCUUUGUGUAGCGUGCUUUAUGGUUAGAGCUUUGUGCUCUUGGUCUUCGGAGUUUACUUAUUCUUGAUUCUAUAGACCUGCAGCCAACAUACAACAGGGUUUGAUUUUCUUUAUUUUUCGCUCUCUUUGGCCCCCUUUUUUUCAUUCCUCGAUGGCUCUUUGGUUAUAAAUUAUGUCCCAAAAGACAAGUCGUCUCUGGUCUUCAGGAAGACAAGUGGAAAUUGUAAAUAGUUUUGAUGACUUUUUUGCAGUGUAGGACCCAAUAAAAAAGUUGAACACGCUUUUGUUGUUUUUCACUUUUAUGAAGGAAUGAGAAUGAUCUGUUUUCAAAAGAAUUUAAGUACGUUGCAAAACGGUGCCAUCAACAAGUUUUUUAUUUUUUAAAAAUUUUUGAAAAAUAAAAGACACCGUGAUUAUGUAGUUUCUCAUUUCUUCCUAAUUUUGGCAGUAAACAAACAGUAAUAACAAAUAUUGAUUAAGCAAAUUAGUUUUCGGGAAUAUUUGAAGGAGAGAUUCCAUAGGAAAUAAAGGUUAGUCCAAUUUUGCAAAAGAUUCUAUGCUCCGUAAAAAGAGAGCAUCUAUAUAUAAGGAUGUGGUCAAGUGUUGGCCAUCACGCGUAUUAGAGUAUGCGAAUAGCGUGUGCGGCGAGAACUCUUAGGAAGGCGCUUGGCACCACAGCAAAGCUCCCCUAAUGAAUGCUCUCCAGUCACAAGCACCAGAUUAAGCUCGUCUACAAAUAUCUGGCUGCAAAAAUAAACAAACCAACUUUCGUAAAAUAAAUAUUAAAAUAAACUAGAAUGAGCUCAAUUGCCGACAAAUUCCAGGUUGCUUAGGUCAAAAUAAACAAUGACCAAACACUGUAUGCAAAACCAUCACUCUGCUUUGUAAAUUAGACCUGCUGGUGUCAUAUGGCGGAGGCUGCGGUGAAAUUUGCUCUAGAGACCUUGGGUCCUUUGCUUGUCGAAGAAAUCAGAUUGUUGGGGGGUGUUAGAAAAGAAGUUCAAAGCAUCAAAAGCGAACUGGAAAGUCUCAGAUCUUUCCUCAAAGACGCAGAUGCAAGGGCAGCAGUCGAGGAAUUAGAAGGAGGCGGUGAGGAAAGCGUCAGAACUUGGGUGAAACAACUGAGGGAUGAGGCUUAUCGCAUUGAAGAUUUCAUCGAUGAGUACGCACUCAUGGUGGCAAAACUCCCCCAUGAGAGUGGCCUCGUUGGUGUUCUCCAUAGAAUUAGUCGUUUCAUAAAGAAGCUGAGGCGGCGGCGUGGAGUUGCUACUGAGAUUCAAGAUAUCGAAUCAGCGCUUGCUGAUAUAAAGCGAAGGGGAGAAAGCUAUCGAUUCAGAUCUAUUGAUGAACCAUCGAGAAGUGGAACCAGAAAUGUUAUCCCACAUGACUCUCCAGUUCGUUCCUUUUUCGUUGAAGAUGAUGAAGUUGUGGGCAUCGAAUCCAUUAAAGAUAAAUUGAUUGAUUUGAUGGUGAACGGAAGAUCCAAAAGUUCAGUGGUUGCUGUGGUGGGUGAAGGAGGACUAGGCAAGACCACUCUUGCCGGGAAACUUUUUAACAAUGAAGGUUUAAAAACUCACUUCAGUUGCCGGGCUUGGGUUACCGUUGGGAAAGAAUACAACAAAAAUGAUUUGUUGAGGACAAUUAUAAAGGAGUUUCACCGUUUAUCAAAACAUGGAAGAGAUGGACCUGAUCGCCACGCUGAGGGACCACUUGAAGGACAAAAGUUACAUGGUUGUGCUCGACGAUGUUUGGAAGAUUGAUUUUUGGAGAGACGUGGAGCAUGCUUUACUUGAUAACAAGAAGUGCAGCAGGAUAAUUGUCACAACACGGCACAUGAAUGUCGCUAAGUUUUGCAAAUCAUCUUCCUCUGUUCGUAUCCAUGAGCUUGAAACUUUGCCUCCGGAUGAAGCGUGGAAACUUUUUUGUAGAAAGGCGUUCGGACCAAGCUCCGGAGGUUGUUGUCCUUCAGAGUUGAAGGAGUUCUUUAUCGUGGCCCUAGGUGGACUUCUUUCAACCAAGAACAGGAUUGUAUCUGAAUGGAAGAAAUUAUUUGAUAGGUUGGGCUCAAUGUUAGGAAGUGAUCCCCAUCUAAAAGAUUGCAACAGAGUUUUAUCUGAAGGGUAUUAUGAUCUUCCUCACCACCUCAAAUCAUGUCUUCUGUACUUUGGCUUAUUUCCAGAGAGCUGCAAAAUUAACCGUGGUAGACUUAUCCGUUUGUAGAUAGCUGAGGGCUUUGUCCAACACAGAAAACGCCUCACAUCUGAACAGGUUGCAGCCGAAUACUUGGAUGAGCUCAUUGACAGAAGCUUGGUUCAAGUUUCAAACAGAGAGAUCCCUGGACGAGCUAUAAUCUGCCAAGUUCAUGAUCUUAUGCACGAGAUCAUCAUCAGAAAAACUGAAGAAUUGGGCUUCGGUCGUCUGCUGAACGGAGAGGACUCGAGUCAUUGCAGUAAAACUCGACGCAUUACUAUACAGAGAAGUAUUGAUGAUGGUGCUUUAGAGAGCAUCAAGGACUGGAAGGUCCGUUCUGUUAUCCUUUUCAAUGUAGAUAAGCUGCCCGACUCUUUCAUGAAAUCAUGUAUUGCCAAUUUCAAGCUCAUGAAAGUACUAGAUCUGGAAGAUUCUCCCAUAAAUUACCUUCCUGAAGGAGUGGGAAACUUAUUCAAUUUACACCUCUUGAAUGCGAGAAACACAAAAUUAAAAAUAAUUCCCAAGUCCAUUGGAAAUCUUCUCAGUUUAGAGAUUUUGGUUUUGGCACGCACUUUCGUGAGUGAACUUCCAGAAGAGAUCAGGAAUCUUAAAAAGUUGCGUUCUCUAAUUGUUUUUCACUACAAGUAUAUCACAGGUUCUAUAAUACCAACAGAAGUAGCAGCCAAAAUACACCGGGGCUUUGGGUCUCUAAGAGGUCUGCUGGUGUUGUCUACUAUAGAAGCUGACUCUCAAGUGCUCAAAGAGCUUAUGAUGCUAAGGCAGUUAAGAAUGUUGAGCAUUAGACCCCAGAAUGGAAAUGGCAGGGAUCUCUGUGCUUUGAUUGCAAAUUUGGAAAACGUAGAGACUUUAGGAGUACUAAUGAAAAGCAAAGAAGAAAUUCUUGACUUGCAAUCUUUGAGUAGUCCUCCUCAACAUCUGCAGUAUCUCAGCUUGAGAGGGAAUAUGAAGAAACUGCCGGACUGGAUUUUAAAACUUAAAAAUCUAAUCGGAUUGCGUUUGAUCUUGUCGGGAUUGACUGAGGAUCCAAUCAGUAUCCUUCAAGCCUUGCCUAACUUAUUGGAACUUAUGCUCCAUGGGGGGUAUGACUACGAGCUUUUUCACUUUGAAGCAGGUUGGUUUCCAAAACUCCGAAAGUUGGUUCUUUUGAACUUCGAGGCUGUGAAAUUGGUUAUAAUAGAGAAAGGUGCGAUGCCUGAUAUUAGAGAACUGUGGAUUGGGCCUUGCCCCCUGUUGAUGGAGAUUCCUAUUGGAAUUGAGCAUCUUAGAAACCUUGAGCUACUUACAUUUCAUGAUAUGUCUAAACAAGUUUGUUGCAUGACAAAGAACGAGAAGUGGGAGGUUACUGAGCAUAUACCAGAUGUCCGUGUCACUUAUAUUGAUGCGGGGCAACUGUUUUAUUGUCCAAAAAAAGUUCUUUCAUCUCUUUCCUGUAGAUUUCGAGCAAUCUGCUAAAGAAGAGGACUCAAGUAAGGAGCAGUCAUGCACAUCUAUAAAAUAACUAAACAGGUGUGCCUAUUUGUAUUAUUUUCUAAUUACUUUAAAAAAAAUUAUUUUCUUUUUUUUCUUUUUAAUUUGACAGACAAUAUAAUCAUAUAUAAUUCAAGAAAAUUCACCCAAAAAAAACUCCUUUUUCCAUGUAAUUUGAGUAUGAUAAGUAAAUAAAUAAUUGCAGUAGGUCAGUAAAUCUUUUUCUAGUCAAGUCUAUUGUUAAUUAGAAUCAUAAUAAUUAGGUAUUAAUGUUUUUAUAGUAAUUUUCCUUAUAUUUUUUGUUACCAUGAACAGUAUAUAUACCUUCCUUACAGUGAAUACAUUGAUGAGUUCAUCGGUCAUAUACUGGAUCAGACUGUGGUAGUAAUGCUACUAUUGACAUGCUUUGAGUUUGAGUAAUUAUUAUCAGUGUUAUUAUGUAACGCAUGCUUAUGUGAGUGGUUGCAGUUGCUGCUGUCAAUGUAAAUGUAUUCUUUUAUAUAUCUAAGACUAAGACUAUAAUUUUAAAAAUGUAAAUGUAUGCUUAUGUGAGUGGUUAAUUUGUUUGGGAUGAUGCAUUUGCCUUAAUUUUAAUCUGUAGCUUAUUGUCUGCUUCAUAACAACUUACUAAAAAAUUGUAUCACAUGCAUUACCGUAUUAUCAAGCUUAAUUUCCUCUUCAUUUGCAUAAUUGUGCUUAUUAUAUUGGGAUUAUUCUACAAUAGUUAUUUAUUUUAUUUAAGAAGUGAACUGAAAAUGCAUGUGAAAUCGUUUUUUUACAAAAUUAGAUGCACGUUUUGGAUUGUGGUUAAUUAUAAUUUUCAAACAAUCGCUUAUUUUAAAAAAAAAAAUGUACUCAAUUAUAUUUGAGUUGUCAAAUUAUUUUAAUUAAACAUAUACAACCGAUUUGGGUUGUCUUUUUUAACUCAAUACACUAACAGUCAUCAAACAAUUGAUUAUCAAACAUAAUAUGAGAAUAAAAUCCAUCACCAUUGCAGACUUAUUGUAACACAAAGAAAGUCUAUAAUUGGGCUUUGGAUUGGGCAAUAAAAACCCACUAAGCGAUAGCAUUCUUCUAUUCCUAGGGAAAGUGAAAAAAGCGGGAGUUGUAAGUGUUAAAUGGAAAUGGAUACAUGCCGAACUUACAAUUAAAUAAAAGAGAAAUUUUUAUAUAAAAGAAAGCGUCGGUGACUCUAAAGUUAGUCGGUGACUCUAAAGUUACAAUCAAAUGAAUGCGAAACUUCAUAAAAAAGAAAAAAAAAAAGUGUAGGUGAUUCUAAAGUUGAAAACUGCACAUGUUUGUGAUUUAAUUAGCUUUUUUGCUCUUAAAAUUACUUUAAAUUGCUCAAGAAAUGGUCAUGGGAAGGCUUACUCAUUAUAAUCCAUAAAUUGAUUAAACUGAUUAAGGAAGCAUGAACCAGCAAUUAGAUCAAAGUGUUGAAUAGUUCUUGCGUGAAAUAAAGAGAAAGAUUGCUAGAAAUUACAUUUUAUUUAUUUUCUGGUGUCACGGGUACAGGGACGUAGCCAGGAUUUUGAUUGAGCCGGGGCAUAUUUAAAAUCAAACAUGACUCGAAUGCGCGAUUGCUCGUAUCAUAAGUCCCCAUUUGGGAAAAUGUAUUGUGGGCCCUAUAAACUCCAAAUGGGAGCUUGCCACAUGUAUAAUUGUGCUAUUUAUAGAGUGCGUCUGUAUGCAUCUAAUUGAAACCCCUAUUUAAAGUAUAAUACAUUUUUAAAAAUUUAGAUAGCAAUAUAUAACAUUACAACUAUAAUAUUCAUUGAUAAUAAAUUUACUUAUUACAAUGGUUCUCCGUGAAAACUCCUCAAUGAGAUUUUAUGAGUUGAAAAUAAUGCAUUAUCACUAUAAGCAAAAAUAUUUUUUUCAAUAUACAAGACUAGGUUAUUACUUAAUUUGCUCUUAAAAUCUUUUAAUAAUAACAAAAAUAUUCAUAUAUUGCAACACACAAAACAAAUAUGAAAUGCAUGAUAAAAUUAUAAAUUUUAAAACUAGACAAAAGAUUAAUUAGAAAAUUAAAAAUUAGACUUAGGUAGACUUACAACUUAUGGUUCAGUGUUGAAAGACUAAAUAAUUGAUUUUACUUGAAUAAAAAAUAAAAAGAUUAAAGACCGGUCCAUUAACCAUUAUACUAACAUUUUGUUAUGAUUGUUUUUUAUUUUAAUAUUUGUUCUUGUGUGUUUAAUCAAGUUUCAUGAAAUGUUAAUAACUAAUUAAAUUAUUUAUAAUUAGAAAUUUAAACUAGGGAUAAUAUGAAAUAUUUUAAAAUUACUGGAGUCAAUUUUAAAUUUUACAAUUCAACUGGGGUAUUUUUCAUAAAUAACAAAAAAACUACAAUUUUUUAGUAUCAUUAUAAAAAAAAUUUUAAAGCCAGCUGGGGCCGGUGCCCCACCUCGUCCCAUGCUGGCUCCGUCCCUGCACGGGUAGAUGAAAGCCACAAACAAUGUUAAGUCCCUUCACUGUAAAAGCAUUUUCCUGCACCUUUUUCUUGGGAAAUUUACGAAAAUAACCAUUAUUAUUUUAUUAUUUUUGCAAUUAACCCUCUCAACUUUUUUCUAUCAACAUUAGCCAAACACAAGCCUUUCUUCCCAAAUUACCCUUCUUUGCGUAACAAAACCAACAUCGUUUCUCCCAUAUCGCCAAACCAAAAGCAGCUUUUCGCUCUUGAUUCAUCAGUCAACGGCGACCGCAAAAGACAACGAUAAAAGUGAUAUCCGAUCAUAAUUUAUCCGGAUCCAACACAAAUCGACAUCCGAAUCCAACACAAAUCGACAUCCGAAUCCAACACAAAUCGACAUCACUUAGUGGUAUGAGUUAUUUUCUGAACAACUGGGCUAAAUCUGGAUCUGGCGACAGGCUGCCUGUCGCAGCAAAACUUGGUGCGACAGGCAACCUGUCGCACCAAGCAAGGUGCGACAGGCACCCUGUCGCACCAAGAUUCGGGCGACAGGUUGCCUGUCGCACCCACCAUGAAAUACAUCAUUAAAACUGUAUUAUUUUAAUAUGGCUGAAAUAAUUUUUUUUUUAUAAUUUCAGGCUUAAUGGAUUCAGUUGUACUUGAAUUGUGUUACGAUGGUUGGUGGGAGACAUUAGAGAAUAGCCGUAUGGAGUACGUGAAUGGUAAAAAUCGAGCAUUUUUUGUUGGAAAAAAUUAUCUGUUUGAUCAGUUAUUGGCAAGAGUAUACGAGGUGUUACAAAUAAACCCUAAUGACUAUAGUAUCACCGUGAAGACAACUUUGAGGUCUAGUAACACAUUAUAUCGUAUAUGUGCAAUGCCCAUGGAUAUAUGCGAUGAUGAAAUGGUGAGGGUUGUGUUGCAUAUGGCAUCGGACGUAGCUAAUUUUGGAUGCAUUCCUAUAUUCGUGACCACAUCACCUCGAGUUCCGAGCGAAGGUAUUGAGCCACAUGUCGAUACAGAAACUUCGUUUAGAGCAAAUAUGUCUGGCCCCGAUAAUGAUGAAGAGGUGUUGCCAAGGACAAUAUCGUUGCAGCAAUAUUACUCUCCAAUCCACGACAAUUAUGACAACAUUGAUGAUAAUGGCGUUACGUUACAGGAUGUUGGAGCAACAAUAUUUUCAAUAACAACGUCGUUGGAGCAACGAUAUUCUCCGUAUCACAACAAUGUUUUUCGGGACAAUGAUGAUUUUCAUAAUGAGACAGAGGGGGAUAAUGUUUGUGCAGAACCUUCUAAUACUAUGAGGGGGGGCACUCGUUUCAAUAAUGAUGGUGAUGAUGGAGGAGCCGGUCCUUCAAAUGUUCCGUCGUUUCAGCAUGAGGAUGAGUGUGAAGACAAUACUCAUGUGAAUAACAGAGGCAAUAGACCUAUUCCUUCUAUGGUUCGAUCGAGAAGGCGAAUUGACCCCCUUACAAGUGUUGCUCCAACUUUGCCUUCGAAUAUGGUUGCUCCAAGCUUUGUUAGCAGUUGUGAUUCAGAUGAUAUCAGUGUGGGUAAGCUAUUUGCUGAGAAAAAUGAGUUUAUAUUACAACUACGCAAGGUUGCCUUUAGAGAUAAGUUUGAUUUCAAGAUUGCACGGUCUACUACGACACGUUUCGAGGCUCACUGUUGUUCAGAAUCAUGUAAAUGGCGUAUUCGAGCAACUAGAUGUUCGAACGAGUAAAAUAUUCCGUGGGUGAUGAAGAGAAUUGACAAUGUACACACUUGUCAUAAUGAGGUAUUGGUUGAUGGACGUCAUCAAGUCAGGAGCCAGGUUGUCGGUCAUAUUAUCGCAGAAAAAUAUAUUCAAGACAAGAGGAUUUAUACUCCGAAUGACAUAAGAGCAAAUAUGCAACAGGAAUACGGUGUUCAGUUAACAUACCAGCAGGCAUAUCGGGCGAGAGAAGUUGGUCUUGAAAUAGUUCGAGGCAACCCUGCAGAGUCAUACAACUUGCUCCCUAAAUACUCUCACGUACUAACUACAGCGAAUGAGGGUACAGUCACUCACCUCGAGCAGGAUGGAGAUGGUAAUUUCUUGUACUAUUUUGUAGCACUCGGAUAUUCCAUCAAGGGUUUUAUGCAGUACAUUCGGCCUGUCAUUGCUGUAGAUGGUACUCAUCUUAAGGGAUUAUAUCGUGGAAGCAUGUUCGUGGCAACAUGUCUUGAUGGUAACAAUCAAUUGUAUCCGUUAGCCAUUGGGAUCAUGGAUUCAGAAAACAACGAUGCUUGGGAAUGGUUUAUGAUGAAGUUACACGGAGUGAUUGGCGAUAGACCUGAGUUGGUAAUUAUCUCUGAUCGAUGCACUGCCAUAAGGAGAGCCGUUCUUAAAGUUUUUCACAAUGCAACUCAUGGCGUUUGUUUUUACCACGUCAAAGGUAACAUUAAGUCUCAGUUUAGAAUGUCCAAAGCUCUUUGGGAUCAAUUUGAGCCUGCCUUUAUUAAUGCAGCAAAAGCAUAUGGCCACGAGGAAUUUAAGAGACAACUUGAAGGGUUGUGGAUGAUCCACUCGGGUGCGGCUGAUUACCUAGAAAAUAAUGUCGAUACGUGUAAUUGGGCAAGGUCGCAGUUUGAAGGUAGGAGGUACAGCAUUCUUACCACGAACAUCGCGGAGAGUGUUAAUGCGUUCAUGAGGGAACCUCGAAAAUUUCAUGUGACUCAUCUUGUUGAUCACUUUAGGAAAACAUUGCAGCAAUGGUUUUAUGAUAGGAAAAUUGUGGCUGAAUCAAUGACUACUCGGCUAACAACAUGGGCGGAUGGAAUAGUCACUGAGAGGAGAACUAUAGCUGAAAGAAUGAUAGUUCGACCGGUGUCUCCGCAUCGCUUUCAAGUUAUAGGGGGUGGGCUUAAGGAAUGGUUAGUUGACUUGCAAAAGAGAACUUGCUCCUGCAGAGUGUUCCAGCUUGAUCAGCUUGUGUGUGCUCAUGCAAUUGCGGCGUGUCUAACACACCGGGUGGAUUUUAUUAACCUUUGCUCGGACUUUUACACUACAGAAUCGUUGGCGAUGGCUUAUGCACAACCAAUAGAGCUAGUUGGUGAUGUGGCUGAUUGGGAAAUUCCAGAUGAAAUUCAGGAAAUGCAUGUAUACCCACCAGUUGAGGCACCACCACCUGGCCGUCGUAAAGAGCUCAGAAUACCCUCGGCUGGCGAGGACGUUGACCGGCGGACUGUAAGAUGCGGUCGGUGUCAUGAACUAUGCCAUAAUCGUAAGAGAUGUAAGAAUCCCAUUGCGUCGACUCGAAGUUAGUUGUAUUUUGUGUGUUAUGAGUUUGUUAAAACUAUUAUUGUUUUUGUGUUCGUUGGUUAAAACUGUUACUGUUUUUUUUGUAUUGUACACUUACAUUUCAUAAAACUUUAUUUAAAGUUUAAAAUGUGAGGCAUUAAAAUUAUAUAAACUUAAGUGUGCGAAGUAAAAAAAAAUUCAAAUUUCAACAUUUAAAUUACUACAUAGGUUUACAAUUGAAUAUCGUCAUUAAAUAUAUCAACCGCAAUCUUCUUUCUAAAGUACUCGACAUGACUAGCGUUAAAGUCCAAUCUAAGCCCGAACAUUAAAUACAUCGUAACCAUCAAUACAAAAACACCGCAAUCGCCAGUUCCGGGCUCUUGUUGUGGCGCGCUCUUAACUGCGAUAAUUUUCCACGGGUCUUCACUCUGCAACUCCGGUCGGAUAUUGUAGAAGCCAACAUAUUCCAACCAUCGAGGGAAUAUAACUUCAAGUGGCUUGAAUUUCAACUUGUACCUUUUGUCGUCGCGAUUUGUGAGUAAUGAGUCAUAAAUCCAGACUUUGUUUUUCCGAAAGUCAACUCGUGCUAGUACCCAAUGCGCGCCGUCGAAGUUAACAGGGAUGAGUAGCUGCAUAUAACAAUUGAAAAACAUGUUCGUUAUGUAUGAAAUUAAAAUACAACAAAGAAAAAGCAACAACUUGAAUAUUUUCAUUAUAUAGCAUGUGAAAUGUAAUAAAAUACAUACCAUAUCGACAUCCGUCAUUGAUUUAGACAUUGUGUGCUGUCGGCCACAAAGAUAACUAUUCAAGCGGUCGUCGAAUACCAUUGAAUCGACUGCACAAUUCCCGUUAUUCCAGAACUGAUUCAAGAACACCUAAUACAUAGAUAACCAAGAAAUGCAUAAAUUAAUAAAACUUAAAUUUUUACAUCCACAUAAAAUUUAUAAGUUUUGUCGGCACGUUACCCAAAAAAAUGUGUCAGUAUGUGUGACACGUUGGAGUAAGGCAUUUGGAUACUGCCGUUGCUUCUCGCUAAUCAAGCGGAGAUACUCGUGAAUAUGCUGUAGAGAAACAGAAAUAUUACGAGUUUUUAAAAACAAAUUUAUACACAAAUCCACAACAGUAUACACCACGAGGAAAUUAUAAAUACCUCAUCGCCUAACCAUCCCAUCGAAGCUGUCCCCAAAAUUAUUUGAAAGAAUGACCGCGGGUGCUGGACUCUCCGGCGGACUCUGCUAUCACCAGUAAACCAUCGAUCAAACUCAGCAAACAGACUAGAGUCCUCCAAUCCUCUCAGUGGAUUUACAUCCACACUCGUACUCAUGUCAAUCGCAUGCUCUAUGAUUUGGGGUCGAGGUAAAGGCCGGACGUUCUGUCCUCGCCUGAUCGGAGGAAUCAUGUAAGGACUGUUAUAAACAUACGACGGUAUGUACGCGCGGCCGAACUUACUAACGCCCGGAGGCACCUCUGUGAACACCUGCACGCUCUCCCCACUUACAUCCCCGUAGAAACUAUACAAUGACGUGGGCGUAGACAAAUUUUCAUUGCCCACGUCAGUAUACACUCCAACGUCAUCCGGGGCCUGUACAUUCGCCAAAAAGAACAUAUUAAAUAACUAUCAAAUUAAAAGUUAAACGAACAUUAUUAUUAAAUUUAAAUUAGCUUACCGCAUACGAGCGUGCAGUGGGAGAAUCCUUAUUUGGACGUUUAGAAAAUGUGUCGAUGAAGCCAACAACGGUUUCUUUAAAAUCUUUUAAUUCUGACUUUAUUUCAUACACGUUACGAUCAAUCUUAUCCAGCCGUCGUCGUACGUAAUCAUUAAACUGCUUUGUCCUCGACUAUUACAAAAGAAAAAAAUAAAACUUUAGAAUAACAAUAAAAAAUUAAUAAUUUAUAAAAAAAAAUAUCGUAUAUUAUUUCUAACCUCAUAAUCCCGUGCGUCAUCAGAGUUGUCUGUUUGCUGCUGGUGGUCAUCAACAGCCACCUCAUCCUCAAAAGUGUCAUGCCCCACCUCAUCCGCAAAAGUGUCAUGACGCUGCUCUGGUAUUGGGUUUGGUAUGUCGUCAUGAUCGUCAUGCUCGUCUGAUUGCCUUGUAACCGACGGCAUCACGUUGAUUGAGGGUUGGUGCUGUAUAAAGUAUCAUUUAAAAUUAGUAAAUGAAAAGUCAAAAAUUUCGAUUAACAAAUUUUUAGUGCUUAGAGUAUACCGACCUUAUGAACCCAGUCUGGAAUGCUUGGCAAGUAAUCCUUCACAGAGAGCCAAUAAUUUUUGCUACUCUCCUUUGAAUUUGGCUCAAGGGUUUGUAAAACGUCCCCCUUCCAUAAAUUCAAUUUAAAAUUUUAAGUAAGUAUACAUAACUUAAAUUUAGUAAAGUUUAAAAAAUAAGUAAUACAUAUUACUUACAAGACGAGAUUCGUCGUUGAAGAACGAAUAAACCUCCGCAAAGUUGAUUCUCGACGACGCCAUGGGCUUCCAUUGCAGAAUGCGGGGAAUCUUAUUCUUCGUUUUGACGACCCAUGUUGAUGGCAACCCUCUGAUUGCUUCGUAAAUCCAAGCCUACAACAACCAAAGUGAAAAAUCAAAUAAAACAACUAUCAAAUAUUUAAUACUAUAAAACUUAUUAAUAAACAAAAAAAAUAGCACCUGAACCCCAGACGUAAAGCCGUAAAGAUUGUAUUUUUCAAUAUUAUGAUCUGGAUUUUUCAACCGAGUCUUCUUAUAUUUCUCGUCUUUCUCGAACAGUGCAUUGUCAAGACUCUCGUAAAUCAUUUCCCACGACAAUAGACCCCAUGGACGCUUUCGGAAGUACUGUAUAUCAUCAACUUGGUCAAGCCAAUCGAAAUUAAUUUGACAGUGAUUUUUUCUUGCAUUUAGUACUCUGUCCGCAAAAUAAAACAGCGCAAUCUUUAAUGCGUCCAUAUCGUUCAUUUCCUCGAAUUUCAACUCCUUAAAUACUGCAUCGAAUUGCUUCACAUUAAUCUUACGAUGCACACCACCAAAAUACGUAUUCCGUAGCCUCUGCUCCAUUUCAUCAUUUUUUUGAUUGGUAUCCACACCAAAUGAAAGUCCAGUAACCAAGCACCAUUCGACAAUUGACAAGCGAAUCACAUGCUUACCAAUUUGAAACCAUAACUGAUCCUCACGGCUAUCUUCUUCAUGGGCCACUUGCCGCAGUAGAAGAUUGUGCAAAAUUACCCCACUAAAUGGAAAACUUCGACACUCCAAGAAAUGCCCAAAUAUAUCCUUUUUGAACAUACGCAACUGCCGGUUUGUUAAUUUUUCCUCGAUGGCUUUAACGACCGAAGAUAACAUACACAUGCUCGAAAUUCGACCAGGAAAAUGAUCAGCAUAACGAAAAUACAUCUUGCCUACUUCAAUAUCCGGUGAUUCUGAUUUCGCCAUGUAUCGGUAAUAUUUAUAAAAUUAUUACAUUACAUUUACAGAAAAAAAAAUUAACUCCUUACAAAAAAAAAAUUUAAUUUUUGGUGCGACGGGCAAGCCUGUCGCACCAGCUUUGGUGCGACAGGCGCGCGCCUGUCGCACCAGAUUUGGUGCAACAGCGUGCCGCGCAUGGCCGCGCGCUGCUGCCCAGCGAUGGGCGCGCGCGCGCGCCCUGCUCCCCUCCCUCCCCACCCGCAAAAUUAAGCACAAUCACUCCAAAAUCGAAAACAAUACUCUCAAACACCACCAACCACCACAAACAUCAUCACCACCACUAUUAAUCUCAAGCUAUAACUAUUAUUAUUCUAAAAUCUCAUUUUAAAUUAAUGAAAAUAAGAAAAAUGACUAACCUAGAUUUUGUUGAAGGUUGUAGAUUGUAGAUCGGAUGCCGGUGAGAGAUGGAGCCGCCGCCGACGAGGGUUGAUGUCGCCGCCGAUGAUGGGAGUUGGAUCAGUUUGGGAGAGAUGAGUGAAAGGGAGUGUUGGGGGAGAGAUGAGGGAGGGGUAUUUUGGUCUCAAAUGUUGUUUUAUGACUAAUAUUGAUAGAAAUAUUUUUGGGGAGUUAAGAUGAAAAAAAGGGAAAUUUUUUUGGUUAUUACUGUAAAUUUCCCCUUUUUCUUCGGCUUUAUGAUAUUCAAUGCCCAUAGUCCCUAGUCCCUACCCCUGUAUCUUUAUUAAUUAUUGGUUAAGAAGCUUGCGGCCUUAAAUGAUCAGAUAUAUUUAUUUUUUUGUCUGUGUUAUAAGAAAUCUUAUUUUCCAUUAUCACAGUUUCGUAUUAAGUAUCACAAUGGUUUAUUGUCCGACUUAAAACAUGAUUAUUAAUAUAGAUUUAAGAAUAAAGAUUAGAGUUAAGGCAACCUAUAUAAGAAAUAAAAUAAAGAAAUCAUUUAAAGAAAUUGUAACCGCUGCUCAUCAAUAAAAACCCAUUUCGGCUGGAAGAAUUUCCGUAGAAAUACAGAUGGUAUUUGAUUUGAAGUAGAAAUGUAAACUUUUUUUUUUUAAUGAAAAUUGGAAAAGUAAACUUAAUUAAGGAAACUAAUAAAUAAGGAAACACAAAUCCUACAAUAAAUAAAUAAGGAAACACAAAGGACCAUAUAUACAUAGGCCGGCCCGGGCCCUUUGACAUGACAACUGACGACCCUCCAAUAAUUUCAAUUUUUAGUAUCGUUCCCAAAACACCCUUCCAAACUUUUCCUGCAUUAAAAGUCAUGAAGAUAAUUUAUUAAUUUAAUCAAACAGUAAAGGUAAUUAUGUCAUUGUAUAUUUGUGGGUCAAGUCCAUCUUGAUCAUCUCCCAUCCAAACGUACAACAAACAUUUCACUAUUUCAGUACCUUAAUCUCACUGUCAAGUGCUCAACUCUCUCUGUAUUAAACACACCGACCCUUGAAUCUCGAUGGCAAAAGUAGUAGUGGGUAUGGCUGCUAAAGGAGAACAGAAAAAAGAAAUGAGUUUUACAGAAAAAGAUGAAAAAGAAGAAGAGAAAUGGAUCAUGCAUUAUUCAUCAAAGCAUCAAAUACUGUUGGUGGGUGAAGGAGAUUUCUCGUUUUCUUUUGCUUUAUUGCAGAAAUUUGGCUCUGCUUCUAACAUCUGCGCUUCUUCUCUUGAUUCCUAUGGUAAUUCAUUCAUUUCUCUAAUCUCUUUCUCUUCUCCUACAUGUUUUUUUUUUCAAGAUUUUUUUAUAUCAUAUGAUAUAGCAUAAAUUACCCUGUUUAUAAAUCUUUAUCCUCAGUUUGAUGUGUUAAGUUACCACUUAAUUUGAUGUGUAACUGUAAAGAAAUUAUCAAUUUUACAGAAAAAUGGUAAAAUGACUAGGAAAACGUAUAAUUAACGUCUCUGUUUUUUUUUUUUAAUUGGAUUUCAUAUGAUGUGAGGCCAAAAUCACCCUGUUUAUAAAUCUUUGUCUUCAAUUUGAAGUGUUUUGACCUCAAAACUGGAACUAUUAAAUAAGAGUCAACAUUAGCACAAAAGUUAAAUGUAACUGUCCGGUCCCUUCUUUAUAAGGUGGAUAACUGAAUAUGAUAUGAAUUAAGAGGCGAAGUUAGGAAUUUUUUUUAAGCUGGGUUACAUCUUUUUUUUUUCAAGUUAAAGAUAAAAUAAAGAACCUUACGGUGAAGCUAUUAAAUUAAACCAUAAAAUUAAAUUAAUAUUGUUUGUGUUAAAAUUUUUUUUGUGAAUUAAGUUUGUUUAACAAUAAAAAUUGUCAACUUUAAAGCGGUGACUACAGUACGCUACGGCUACCAUACUUCACAACCUGCCACAGUUACAUGGUUCUUGUUUAUUGACUUUUAAUUAUCAGAUGAUGCUUAGUCUAUGAAUUACGGUACCCUUAGACAUCAUAGACAGACCCCCACUUUACAUAAUUGAAGGCUAAAUGAGUGAUAAAUAUCUUGUCAUCACUGGUUUACUUGAGACCGAAAAUAGAUUUCUAAAAUAAGAUUGAGUGGGAAAGAAGUUGGAACAAAUGACAGUAGCCAUAUAUAUAUAUAUAUUUUUAAAAAGAGUGAUAAACAUGUAAAUAAUACUGCGGUCGUUUUGUAUAAUAUAACAGUGAUAGCUAGCUUCAUAAAUACUGCAUGGUAAUUUUAUGAACAACGUAAUAAAGAAACUAGAAAUUUUGCCAAAUUUUGGCCGCGCUAUAGCCUAGCUUCGCCCUUGCAUGAAUUCAAUUCGAUAGUUUGAUGCAACUGAAAAAAUAACUUAACCUUAAAGAAAUUAUCAAUCUUACAGAAAAAUUGUAAAAUGACCCGGAAAAUUAUCAUCAUCACCACCAUCAUCAUCAUCAUCAUUAUUAUUAUUAUUAGUAUUAUUAUUAUUAUUUGGUUGACGUAUCUUGCUUAUUUGGAAGUUAACAUAAAUUAUAUAUUUGGAUGGACUAGAAACUGUGGUUAAGAAAUUCAAGGAGGCACGGUCAAAUUUGGACACCCUAAAGAAGCUGGGAGCAUCCAUUAUCCAUGGAGUUGAUGCAACUGAAAUGAAGGAACAUUCUGAAUUGAGCAAGCGGAAGUUUGAUAGAAUAAUCUUCAACUUCCCCCAUGCUGGCUUUCAUGGAAAGGAAGAAGACGACGAAGUUAUUCGGUGAGCUGCUUUAACCUAGUGAGUCCAAUGGACACGUGUCAGUACAGCGAGUGAAAAAUGGUUAUAUUCCGAGGGAAAUUGAUAUUUAAAGUGAUCCAUAUUUCUUAAUAAUUCAACAUGCAUGUAGUAAUCAAGAGCUUGCUGUGAUAUUUCCGCUUCGCCAAUUCUUAAAAAUUUGGCUCCUACACCUGUUCCAUGAUCUUUCUUCUGGUAAUCGCAGAAUGCAUAUGAGCCUUGUGGAAGGUUUCUUCAGAAAUGCAAGUGGUAUGCUAAGGCCUCAUGGUGAAGUGCAUGUAAGCCACAAGACAACAGCUCCAUUUUGCAAAUGGCAUAUCGAGGAACUCGCUAGGAAACACUCUUUGUUAAGACUCGACUGUGUCCAGUUUAGAAAAGAAGACUACCCAGGUUACAGUAACAAGAAAGGAGCUGGUUCACUGUGCGAUGACUAUUUCCCCUUGGGAAAGUGCAGUACCUUCAAAUUUGGUUUAUAUCGUGCUCGCAAGAGGUCUAAAGUAAUGAGUGAUGGUGGAUUUAUUGUCAAAAGAACUAAGGCUGUUCAAGAGAUUCCGAUCCGAGUGCAGAAGCGUGAAACCGAUCCAUUUGACUGGAAAUGUACUAAUGCAAAGUCAGCCACUGAUAUGAAUGAAUUUCGAGCCUGUGUGAAGUUUGAUGGUAGCGGUGCCGGUUACCCUGUUCGUGAAUAUCCUAGGUUUGACAGUCUCGUACAUCCUCAAACAAGCUUCACCAGAAAUGCGAUUGACCAUCCAGGAUAUAAGAGACUAGCUUUGAUGGGUAAUUCUAGGUUCCAUAAUGGCUGCUUUAAUAGUUCCCACACGACGCUUGGAAGAGCUGUUGACGAUGUGGGCUAUCUUGUUCCCGAAUCAUUAAUUCCAUAUGAAAGAUAUUACGCGGAAGUAGCAGGAUUCCAAAGAGAAAAUGGUAGGAGCUACGAUAAAACAGUGCCUCGAGGAAGAACCUUGUAUCCUGUGGAUGGACGUUGCUAUCAGGAAACUAUGAAACCAGCGCAGCCGUCAUGGAUGAGAUUGGGAUUUAGUUACCAGCUUUAAAGGAGAAGUGGUGCUAUUAUGCUUUUAUGGAAGACUGAACGACCUUUUGUCUUUAGUCGUGAAUUCUAGCUAGUUAAGCAUAUAUAGGCAUCAUAGUGCAAGUAGAAAGCUUUGAUUUGCUUUCACUUUGGUUUGUUUUAAGAACUAAGAAUUUCAGUAAUCUGUUGGUGUGUUGUGUGGUGUUGUCAAUCUCCUAUUUGCAAAGCACUCGAUCUGUUUCCUGUUUAAAGAACUAUAAUUAGAUUUAAUAACAUCGAUGAACUCAUCAACGUACGUAUUCACAGCAAGGAAGAUACUCCUCCAUCUAUUUGUGGUAAUUACUAUGAAGACGGAGUAUAAUCAGUCAACAAUGCUACAAGUUUAUAUGCUUUCAGUAAUUAUUAUCAGCGUUAUUAUGUAAUAUAUGCUUACGUAAGUGGUUGCUGCUGUGAGUUAGCGUAAUCUUUUAUAGAAUCUAUUAUAGUUUUUAUCUAAGAUUUUAAUUUUAGAAUUGUUAUAGGACUGUUGUCAUCAUAUUGUAUAUUCAGUGUUUAAUUGAAAAAAAAAAACUGUGCGCCAAUUUGAUCACCACUGCUAUACGGUUAAUUCGUAUGGAGGAUGAUGCAAUUUUUGCCUUAAUGGGCUUUCAAAUUUUUUAAUCAAACAUAUAUAGUUGAUUAGAGUUGUCCUUAAUUUUAGAUUCAACACACUAGCAACCAUCAAGCAAUUGAUUCUCACAUAUAAUUUAGAAAUAGAACCCAUCGCAAUCUGUCAAUCGGUCAAUUUCAUACAUUCACCAAGUCUUGUAAAUAAAUCAAAAUGCAUAAAACUAUGUGAUUUUGAAGGGUUCACUUCAUCACCCCUUUUUAUAAAACCUCAUUUCAAAUAAAAUUACAUUGAAAUAAGAAUUAAAUAUAUUUGAGAAUUUUUUCAGUAAAUUACUUGCAUUAGUAAUUAAUCCUUUUUUUUUUGUUUUCUACCCCUCACUUCCAUCUAAUCAAAAUUAAUUAAAAAAAAUUAGAAUAAACUAUUUUUCUUAUUUCAAAUUAUAACUGACUUUCAAAAGUUCAUUAGUCAAAAAACUUUUCAAUGUGCUGUGUGGGACAACAAGAUUACAAAAGAAAAAAAAAGAAUUAAAAUAAAAAUAACUGAAAAAAAAAAAGAUUUUAUAAAGUGAUUAGAGGGUCGCCAAUACUCCCAACUCGUGGAAAAAGUUUAUUCAGUUGUGUGUGGGCGUAAAUGUAAAUGGGCUUGCAAAUAAAAAGUCUUAUGAGUGGGCUUUGGGUGUAGGCAAUUAAAACUUGCUAAGCCACGGUAUUUUUCUUCACUUCCAUUCUUAGAUUUGAUGCUUUAAAGCGGUGGGGAUGCGAUGAGAACAUAAUCUUCGCGGUGCGGAUGGCGGACUCCACAAUUUGGCAGAAUAUAAAAUUUUCUAAAGAGAAUAUUUUUAUUUUUUUAAAAGUGAGAAUACUAUUAUAAUAAAAAAUAUAAAUUUUAAUUUAUUGAAAAUUAUUAUUUUUGUUUGUUAAUAUAUUAGAAUUUGUAUUUAUGUAUGCAUGUGUGUGUAUUCCUGAAGCUAAUUCCUCGUAAAGUUUGCUAGGCAUCUAAUCAUAAAAAAAAAAAAAUCUGAUAUUUAAACACGUCUUAGUUAUUUAUUAGUGCCACGUUAGUUUGAAUUCUAAGGGUCGAGUUUGGUAGCAUAUAAUCUCCAUUCCACCGUCUUUGAUAAUUCACUUUCUUAACCAUUUUAGAAAUGUGACCCUUGCUCUUGCUCAAUUAUUACUACGUCUACAUAUGGCCACAAGAUUAGAGUUUGCACAUUUGUUCUUUUUCCAUAAACACACGGUUUCCUCACUUCCAAAUGGACUUCUCUUAAGUUGCAUUAUUAUUAUUUGCACUCUUCUCAAUAUAUAAAACUCAUGAAAUUUUUUAAUGAAGUUUUUCUAAUCAUCACAGUAUUAAUCUUUUUAACUCUCAUUAUUUGUAAUUUCUUUCCCACACAAGAUAUCCUGCAAUUGCAAAUAAUGAGAGGUACUGCCCAGUUUUUUUUAAAAAAGUCCACAGUUAAAAUAAACGACAUGAUCCAUUAUGAAAAAUAAAGUAUUCGAUCUAAAACUCACAACAGAAAAAUAACAACAAUGCUAGCUUGCUCAGGGAAACUUGCCUGAAAUUGCCGGACCGGCCAAUCUUCUAAUUUCUAAACCACCGUUUUGAUUGGGUGGAAUGUUGAAUAACAGGCACUGCAACCAACGUAAUGCACACAAUUUUUUGAAACUAAUCAAAUUUGAUCAAUGACUUAAUUCCAAUGAAAUAAAAUGUAACUGUUGAGGACUUAAAUGAUAUCUUUUGAAAUUCUUGUCUAGCUUUUUAGAUAGAAUCAUCAGGGAAUCAAGUGAAACAAAUCCUCUUGUAGGGCUAGAUUAUUCUUUCAAGUUUCAUCAUGGCUGCUAGCUCUAAGAAUCCACUUUAUUGAAGACGUUGGAAAAGAGGUUCACUGCCAAUAGCUUCCUUAGUAAAACUAAAUCUCUUUCAAACUAUCAGACAUACUACUAGUUCUACAUCAAUGGAGUAAACGAGAAAAAUCUGAGAUAUGGCGGAGACUGUGGUGAAUUUUGUCAUUGAAAAGCUGGGUCCUUUGCUUGCUCAAGAAAUGGUGUUUUUGAGCAUGAGAUCUUUUCUAAAAGAUGCGGAUGCAAGAGCCGCACUAGAAGAUUUUGAAGAAAGAGAGAGUCAAUAGGUAUCAAAACUUGGGUGAAACAAGUGAGGAAAGAAGCCUAAUGUUGAUGCAGAAUCUGGUCGAAACCGUUAGCAUGGGCAGGUCACCAUGUCAACACUUGAAUUUGUUUUGAUGGGAGACGGUACUGUUUGCACUUCCUUCCUCCAAACAGAUCCUUACGCCCACAUUCACUUCCCUCAGGAUUCUCCAACAUUUCUGGAUUCUCCGACGUUCACAGAAACAAUUAAGGGGUGCAGGAUGUUUUUCUGACAUAAACCCUCCGAUACGUCGGUAGUCAGGUCUCUCUGGGAAAAACUUAUACCACAACUUCCAUGGCUUAAUUAAAACUGAAGCCAGAACAAAUAUUUUAAUGAUUCUCAAAAAGAGAUAAAUUCUAAAAAACAGAUUCUAGAGUUAGAGAGGCAGAAUUUCGUUUCAGAGUGGGCAAAAGAACUCACCUCUUUGGGAUUUUACAGGCCUUUUAUAACCCUGUUGCACUAUCGUGGGUACACAAUCAUUGACCAGUCCCUUGCAUCACCGUUCAUGGGUUGGUUAAGUAAUUGUUAAGGGAUAAUGGAUGAAUGUGCGAGGUAGUUGAUGAAUUGAUGGUGCAACCGUUAAUGGAGUGGUAUUAUAAUUGUUGAUAUCGAAAUCUGGUCGAGUUGAUGAUGGCAAUUAGAUUACUUCUUCAACACUUGAAUUUGUUUUGAUGGCGAACUAUCGCUUGCUACUCCAGUAGAGUUUGAAUUGCUAUGAUGCUUUUUGCUUUCUUUUAUUUGCAAUAACAGAAAACUGUCAGGGGGCGCUUGGCGAAAAUCCUCCGACGCUCAAGUUAGUAAUGAAGUUUUCUUGCAAGAAAAAUAAUAAUGUCACGCACUUGUGAUCUUAAGUACUUUCUUUUCAAAUUUCUUAUUCCCCAGAAAAAAAAUCUCCCUUUCAGGAUCUUUUCCGAUUCUUAUAGACAACCGCAAGCAUCUCUUGUUCUUCAAUGCGCUAAUGUUACCAAAUUGAAUGUGCCACUUGAAUUAAGGGUUAAUGUAUCCGUUUCUGUAUAGUUAUUGAGCUAUCGUGUCUGAUGGUGCUUUAAACAUUAUAGCAGGACAUGCUUAGACGUUACGGACGAACUACCAGGUUAAGUUCUACAAUCUGAAAAUUAAACCAAGACCAUAAAAUCGAACGACAUGAUUAUGGUCUCCUCGCAGACUGCUGGUUGUCCUUGCAUAUGUAACCAGAUAACUUUCUCCUCGAUGUUUCACAUCACCCUUAAGACUUUUAUAUUAAGUGGCUACAUUUGUAUACCCCAAACAAUAACUAUUAGUGAAUUGACUUUGUGCUCAGAUUCUGGGGGGGGGGGGGGGGGGGGGGGGGGGGGGGGGGGGGGGGGGGGGGGGGGGGACUUACAGAUGUUUGUGUAAGAAACUUGUGGGACCAAUGUGUUGUUUUUGAGAAUGGCAAAAGUAAGUAUAGGUGGCUCUAAAGUUGGGACUUACAGAUGUUUGUGUUUGAAUUAGUCCCUUUUUUUUUUUUUUGAAAUUGAAGCAAUGGUCUUGGGAGGCUCACUCAUUGUAAUUGAUAUGUUAAACUGAUUAAGGAAGCGUGGAGCAGAAAGUAGACCAAAGUGUUGAAUACUUCUUUAAAAUUGAAAUUUAAGAGAAAUAUUGCUAGAAAUUUCAAUUUUAUUUAUUUAUUUAUUAUGUCAUGGUUUUAUUUAUUCAUAAAAUUGAAAACCACGAUGUUGAGUCUCUUUACAGUAACAGCCAUUUUCACAUUUAGAGUUCUUUUCCUUUAGUUUUAUGAGAUUCAAUGCCCCCUUCACAGUAAAAGAAACUUGUGGCCCUAAAUGAUCGUUAGAAUUUGAGAAUACACAUAUUUUUCAUGUUACUGAGAUUUUUUUUUAUUUCCAUUCUAAAUUAACCAUUAAAAAGAAAUUAAUUUAAGAAAAACCCAUUAAAAAGAAAUUGUAACCGUUGCUCCAUUGUAAAAAUUACGUUCAACAUUUCAAGAAAACAAUCUUAGUUGGAAGAAAUUCCGGAAAAAUAUAGAUGGGUUUUUGAAUUUGAAAUUUAAACUCAAUUAAGGAAACUAUAAAAUAAAAGGAAACACAAAACCAUAUUUGGCCGUGGACCUGACAACAUAUCCCUCCGAUAAUAUCAAUCUUUUUACCAUUCUUCCUAAAACACCCUUCCAAACUUCUCAAACUACAGAAGAUAGACUCACAGACGGUAAUUACAUCAAGGCUAAUUACGUCAUUUUAAAUUCCUGGCUCAAAUCUGGUGGAGUAUUGUCCUCAUCACGAUCGUUUGCCAUGCAAACGUAUAACAAACUCUUCGGCAAUCUCACUACGACUAUGGCAAUACUGGCUGAAGCUGCUGAAAAAGAAGAGGAAAAAUAAAUGGGUUUGACUGGGAAAAAAAAGAAGAAGAAGAAGAGAAAUGAAUAAUGUACUAUUCAUCAAAACAUAAAAUACUGUUAGCGGGCGAAGGAGAUUUCUCUUUUUCUCUUGCUUUAUUUCAGAAAUUUGGCUCUGCUUCUCACAUCUGCGCUUCUUCUCUUGAUUCUUAUGGUACGGUAAUAUAAUCAAUUUUACGGAAAAAGAAAAAUAGAAAAUUGUAAAAUUACCAGGAAAAUUAUUAAAAAGUAUUAUUAUCUGUUGACACAUCUGGUUUAUUUGGAAGUUAAUAUAAACUAUAUUUGGAUGGAUUAGAAACUGUCAUUUAGAAAUUCAAGAAGGCAGAGUCAAACUUGGACACUCUAAAUUAAGAAGCUGGGAGCAUCCCUUAUCCAUGGAGUUGAUGCAACUGAAAUGAGGCGUCAUCCUGAAUUGAGAGAGCGGAGCGUUGAUAGAAUUAUCUUCAAAUUCCCCCAUGCUGGCUUUUCUGGAAAGGAAGACAACAAUCAACUUAUUCAAUGAGCUGCUUUAAAAUACAGUUCCUUGUAGAAAUUUUGUGUUUCUUCUGUAUUGCUUACUAAUCUGAAACUUUCAUUUCUUUUGCAAUGAUCCAGCUAUUCACUGUCAUCGUUUGAUGUUAAUACGGGGAUUAGCAACUCAUGCUUUUGAAGAUUUCAUGGAUAGGAUUGAAACUUAAUUGAAAAUCAUAGUUUCCAAAGGGGAAUUGCUAAAUUGCUGAUGAAGAAAUUAUAGUCUCGUUUAGAUUUAGAUACAAGUUGAAAGCGAAAACCCAGCUUUGAUUUUAAGGGAUCUGGGAUUUGGAUGACUCUUGCAUAUAUAGGAUAUUAUUGUAAUGUUUUGCUUUCAAUGGUUGAUUACUUGUUAGUGAGGAAUUUCAGAGUGACGAAAUAUGCAGAGUCCUGUGGAAACGUGGGUCGAUACACUACAGUGACAUGAAAAUGGUUGAAAAAAAAAAAAAGGGUGAACUUGCUUAAUAAAGUGAUACGUUUUGCUUAAAAAUUCAAUACAUUGUAGUCUAGAGUUCCCUGUGAUAUUUUAAAAACCACUAAUUCUGAAAAUGCUGGCUCGUAUACCUGUUCGAUGAUCUUUCUUCUGGUAAUCGUAGAAUGCAUAUGAGUCUUGCGGAAGGUUUCUUGAAAUGCAAGUGGCAUGCUGAGGCAUAGUUGUGAAGUUCAUGUAACCCACAAAACAACUGCUCCAUUUCGCGACUGGAAUAUCGAGGAACUUGCUCCCAAACACUGUUUGUCAUCAAUGUACCCUGUCAACCUUAAAAAAGAAGACUACCCUGGUUACAACAACAAGAGAGGAGCUGGUUUGAAAUGUCAUGAGCCCUUCCCCUUGGGAGAGUGCAGUACCUUCAUAUUUGGAUUCUAUCGUGCUAGCAAGAGAGUAAUGAGUUAUGGUGGAUUCGCUAACAAAAGACAUCAGCCGGUUCAAGAGAUUCCAAUCCAAGUGCAGAAGGAUGGAACUCCAUUUGACUCGAGAUAUGCUAAUGCAAAGUCAGCCACUGGUAUGAAUGAAUUUCCAGCCUCUUCGAAGUUUGAUGACAGUGGCAUGGGUUACUCUGUUCGUGAAUAUCCUAGGUUUGACAGUUUCAUAUAUCCUCGAACAAGUUUCACUAGAAAUAUGACUGACCAUCCAGCAUAUAAGAGACUAGCUUUGAUGAGUAAUAUACAAAGAGAAAAUGUUAGGUCCCAUAAUGGCCGCUUCAAUAGUUCCAUAAUUCUGUGUGAAAGGUAUAUCGCAGAAGUACCAGGAUUCCAAAGAGAAAAUGCGAGGAGUUUGUAUCCUAUGGAUGGAAGUAAUUUAAAUGAAAGGUGCACCAAGUUGUUUGUGUAGCACACUGUAUGGCUAGAGAGUUUCAUGCUCUUGGUCUUCGCAGUUUUCUUAUUUGUAUGGUUUGGUUUUCUUUAUUUUUUGCCGACAAAUAAACAAAUCAACUUGCAAUAAAAUAAAUAUUAAAAUACACUGAAAAAGCUCAAAUGCCGACAAAUUCCAGGUUGUUCAAAUAAUUAAUUCUAUAGUAAGUAUGAAGAAUAAAAUAAAAGCAAUCAACUUGCAAAUUGCAAAUUCUGCAUUCCUAAACCAAUGUCCAAACGGGGGUAAACAUGUCUGCAAACAUAAACAAUGAUCAAACACUGUUUGCAAAAGCAUCAAUCUGCUUUGUAAAUUAGACCUGCUGGUAUGAUAUGGCGGAGGCUGCGGUGAACUUUGCAAUAGAGACCUUGGGUCCUUUGCUUGUCGAAGAAAUCAGAUUGUGGGGAGGUGUUAGAAAAGAAGUUCAAAGCAUCAAAAGCGAACUGGAGAGUCUCAGAUCUUUCCUCAAAGACGCAGAUGCAAGGGCAGCAGUCAAAGAAUUAGAAGGAGGCGGUGAGGAAAGUGUCAGAACUUGGGCGAAACAACUGAGGGAUGAAGCUUAUCGCAUUGAAGAUGUGAUCGAUGAGUACACACUCAUGGUGGCAAAACUCCCUCAUGGGAGUGGCCUCGUUGGUGUUCUCCAUAGAAUAAGUCGUUCCAUAAAGAAGCUGAAGCUGCGGCGUGGAGUUGCUACUGAGAUUCAAGAUAUCAAAUCAGCGCUUGCUGAUAUAAAGCGAAGGGGAGAAAGCUAUCGAUUCAGAUCUAUUGAUGAACCAUCGAGCAGUGGAACCAGAAAUGUUAUCCCACAUGACUCUCGAGUUCGUUCCAUCUUCGUUGAAGAUGAUGAAGUUGUGGGCAUCGAAUCCAUUAAACGUAAAUUGAUUGAUUUGAUGGUGAACGGAAGAUCCGAACGUUCAGUGGUUGCUGUGGUGGGUGAAGGAGGACUAGGCAAGACCACUCUUGCCGGA